UGGAUAUAAUCUUGAAAAUGUGGGAUGUAUGCAUUAUAUCCAUCAUCCAUAGGACACAGUUUUAUUUGUUAUUCAAGGGAGACCCUGCUGAUCAAAUAUACAUGGAAGUUGAGCUUAGAGCUUAGGCGCUUGAAUUGGUUACAGCAGCAUUUGGCAGAAAUUGGCAAUGCAAGCCCUGCUCCUCGUGUUGGAGAUGAGCCUACAAUUUUUCUAUCGUCAAGGUUUCUCUCUCUUAUUAGCCUA
rnacentral:lncRNA from 1 species